CAUUCUCAAACAAACAUAUAGCCUACAUUCUCCAAGAGAUUCCAUAACCCACUGGGAAAAUUGGGAAUCAAAUGUCUGUAUACUGCUUGAGGAGCUGGGCAUUGAAGAAUGAAGAAUCUGUGUCUGUCUGGCAGUCUGUGCGAUGUGGGGUCCUGAUCCUUCACCCCACUUUCGAAAAUGGGACUUGAUGUGACUGAAGUGCUGCAGGAGACUAUGCUGCAGACCUUUGAGAGUAAGAACAGUGCAGCGGGACUCCUCAGGGAUACUCUGUGUGAGUGGGUUCACAACAGUGGCUGUUAAAAUUUGAGUCUGGCAGGCUGAGCCUUCUUGCACGGACAGCCGUUGGUUUUCACUUAAUUCAAACAGCCUAAUAUGCAUGGUCCACAGCCCAUGGACAGACCAUCAGAGAGGAGCCUGUACAGGAUAUCACCAAGACGACUGCAGUCCAUUAAAGGGAAAAUACCCAACUGCCUUCUGAAAGCAGGAAUUUGUCAAUGUGACUAGCUGUUACGGAGCCUGUCCCAAGAAAGGAUUCCUGGUGGGCCAUUUCCUGUUCACAUUGCAGUCUUUCUCAUGAGAAUCCACUCUUGAACCCUGUGCCUCCCUGUAGGCUGUGACAGAUGGUGGCAUCCAACUGUCCCUGACUGAGUGAAGUGAGGAAGAGCCAAUGGCAUGAAGCCAUACUGAUGGUGCUAGUGUGUGAGGUCUAAUCCACAACCAACACUUGUGUUGCAAGAACUGCAGCAAGAAAAAAUAGAUGCCAAGACUGUUUGAUCAACAUGGGAGAGCAAUUUGUUGACUCACGAACCUAGCUCUCUCUGAUUACUGCUUACAUAGCACUUUGGAAAGGUUGGCCAAAUACCUUCAAGUCAAGUACCUUGUUAUUAUGAACAUGAGUACCAAUAACAAAGAAAAAAUAGCCUACAUGUCACUGAAUA